AAUGAACGUUGGCGGCGUGGAUUAGGCAUGCAAGUCGUACGGGUCGGUGUAGCAAUACAACGGCAAGUGGCGAAAGGGAGAGUAACACGUAGAUACCUACCCUCUGGUCGGGGAUACCGCGGCAUAACCGCAAGUAAUACCCGAUAAAAUCUCCGGAUCAAAGGAGUGAUUCCGCCGGAGGAGGGGUCUGCGUUCUAUCAGCUUGUUGGUGAGUUAAUGGCUCACCAAGGCUAAGACGGAUACGGGGUGUGAGAGCAUGCCCCCGCUCACUGGGACUGAGACACUGCCCAGACACCUACGGGUGGCUGCAGUCGAGAAUCUUCGGCAAUGGGCGCAAGCCUGACCGAGCGACGCCGCGUGCGGGAUGAAGGCCUUCGGGUUGUAAACCGCUGUCGAGGGGAAUGAAGUGUAGGUGGGUACUCCCAUCUAUUUGACAGAUCCCUGGAGGAAGCAUGGGCUAAGUUCGUGCCAGCAGCCGCCGUAAAAC
rnacentral:rRNA from 1 species